rnacentral:misc_RNA from 1 species
UCCUGGUUAACCCAGGCAGUCUCAUUAGAGUUCCCACCUUAAAUGUUGGCAACUAAUGAUGAGGGUUGCGCUCGUUGCGGGACUUAACCCAACACCUCACGGCACGAGCUGACGACAGCCAUGCAGCACCUGUGCAGAAGUCCCGAAGGAAGACUCUAUUUCUAGAGCUGUCUUCUGCAUGUCAAGUCUGGGUAAGGUUCUUCGCGUUGCAUCGAAUUAAACCACAUGCUCCGCUGCUUGUGCGGGUCCCCGUCAAUUCUUUUGAGUUUCAGCCUUGCGACUGUACUCCCCAGGCGGUAUACUUAACGCGUUCGCUACGACACAAUUGGGGUUGAGUCCAAUUACAUCUAGUAUACAUAGUUUACGGCAAGGACUAC